AGUGAACGCUGGCGGUAGGCCUAACACAUGCAAGUCGAACGGCAGCACAGUAAGAGCUUGCUCUUACGGGUGGCGAGUGGCGGACGGGUGCGGAAUACAUCGGAAUCUACUUUUUCGUGGGGGAUAACGUAGGGAAACUUACGCUAAUACCGCAUACGACCUACGGGUGAAAGCAGGGGAUCUUCGGACCUUGCGCGAUUGAAUGAGCCGAUGUCGGAUUAGCUAGUUGGCGGGGUAAAGGCCCACCACGGCGACGAUCCGUAGCUGCUCUGAGAGGAUGGAUAGACAGCUGGGAUCUGAGAAAGAGCCCAGACACCUGCGCUGGGACACAGCGGGGAAUAUUGGAGAAGGGAGGAAAGCGUGAUCUAGGCAUACGGGGUGGGGCAUGAAGGCGUUCGGGUUGUAGAGUGCUGUAGUUGGGAAAGAAAAGCAGCAGGUUAAUACCCCGCUGUACUGACGGUACCGAAAGAAUAAGCACCGGCUAACUUCGUG
rnacentral:rRNA from 1 species